AUAAAGGUGGCAGAAAUAUGCAUUAGAUUUAGGCUCUAAUUAUGAAGCCCUACUUCCCUUUAUU
rnacentral:tRNA from 1 species